rnacentral:lncRNA from 1 species
AUUUUCUGUAGAUCGAAUAUUCAGCAAAAACCAUACUACGCUUGAUCUCUACACAGAUUUUGCACAACCAGUCGUACUUUCUGUCAUGGAGGGAAUUAACGGUAAUUUAUAACUGGUUAUAUAUACACUCCGGCCAGUGGCGAAGCCAGCCAAAAAUUGUUAGUCAUGCUUUGAGCGGCCAAGGCACGAGGCUGUCUAGGGGGGUCUGGGGGCAUGCCCCACCGGAAAAUUUUCAAAUAUAGAACCCCGGAAAUGCCAUUUCCUGCGAUUUGAAUUCUAAGCUCCAAUACGACCUUAAGAAGGGGAUUUUUACCGUAUUUUAGCCAAAAAUGACCAACAACCAAAUUUUGCAUAUUCUAAAACUUCAUUUGCAUUCGGAGCGUAAAAAAGGCGAAAAACUCGUUCAUUAAAAGACACAUUUUAUCCCCAUAUCCGUUCCAUGGAUUCGCUUCGUCCGCUUCCGCAUUUUAACCUAGGUGUGACAUGUUUUACAAUAACAAGUCUCAUUGACCUUUGAUUUAUUCCAAAUGUCCGCAUGUGAUGUAUUCAAUAAUGUCACUUUAAAUUUCAAUAUUUUCACAGUUAUGGCAGUGUUUAUAGCAGUUUUGACAAGCUUUGAUACAGAUACUGUAGAUUCUCGCAAGAUCUGAUAGAGUUGCACUGAACAUGAGUUUGCGCCGUUGGCGUUGUGACAGUGCUAGACAUAUAAACAAGGUUCGUGACGUGCGCGUAAAUCUGUGGUGUAGCACCUUAAUUAUACAGUCGAUGUACAGUAUAAUGAAUAAUUGAAUAUACGCGGUCUAAAUAACGUCGGUAAUACAUAACAUCAAUUUAUAUAUUGCGUAGAAUCUCAAAAAUUUUCUCAAUAUUCAUGUUUGAAAUGUUUAUAUAUUUGAAAACAACGCUGUCUCACUCCAUCAUGCAUCCUAGCUCUGUACUUGAUUGAAUGCCCAUAAUGUAUAAGAUCAAUCUACUGUAUAUAUUGCGUAGAUUCUCAAAGAUUGCUACUGGAACUAAAAGACCUUUGUAAGAGAAUAACAUUUCGUGUACUUUGACAGACGCUUGGUUGAAUCGGAUUAAUUUGCAUAUUCAUAAAUAGGGGUGCACCGGAUUUCAAAUCCGGCCGGAAUUCCGGCCGGAUUUAACGAAUUUUCCGGCAUCCGGUAUCCGGCCGGAUUUGGAGAAAAUUCGGCCGGAUUUAAAUUUCUGUUUUCACCUUAAACAAUUCACCAAGAAUGGGAUAAACCAUCAAUUUGGCAGCUUUAAAGUUUAAGAAACACUUGUAUUAUUGUAAGAUAUUAAGUUAUUAACAAAAAGAUAUUUAAAAAAGGUUUAAAAACAAUCAAAAAUCUAAACUGACACUAAUUAAAAAUAGUAAAAAACAUAAACCGCCAUUUUGAAUACGAAUUAUCCCAAUUUAUCCCCAAUUGUCCCCAUUACCGGUUUAUCUCAAAUCCGGCAGGAAUUCCGGCCGGAAUUUUUGUCCAAAUCCGGUAAAUCCGGUUCCGGCCGGAUUUGAAAAUUCCAAAUCCGGUGCACCCCUAUUCAUAAAUCUAUUUCGCUACCGGAAGAUGAAUAACUCAGAAGAUUAUUCGAAGGUUUAUCAUGCGUCGAAGCCCGAGAUGUCGAGCAGGAUUAAAAGGCAUAAUUUUGCGUGUUUCGCAUUCUUGAGAGCUGUUUUAGCUAAUGAAAUGCGUUAGAAUUUUACGUUUGUUCUGCUAGCCUGAGUUGAGCAGGACUAAACUUCGGGCAAGCCACGCAUUUUUCCUGCUUUUGCCUCAUGCAUGCAGGCAAAGGCUCGAUAUUCAUUCAAAAUAAGUUAAAUAACGUUAGUUACAUUAUGAAUUUCUCUGUUUAAGAAUUUCUGCGCAAUGUAAUGAAGUUAAGGAAAUGUAAGAACAUAUUUCAAGCUGGAUAAAAGUGUUUUCUUUUAAAAAUUAUAUGCGUAAAAAAUUCAUUAUCUGAAAUUUUGUAUGUCAUGCUCAGCAGGAUAUCUGGCUUCGCCACUGACACUACCUUAGACUUGCCCACAAGUCAAUCUCGAAAUGCUCGAUAUUAAUAGCGAGCGACGAAGCCGCGCCGCGAAAACAUUGGGAAAGUCUAACACUACCUGAUAAUACUUAACAAUUAUUCGCCGAAGGCGAGGUGAUUAUCAGUGAGUAAAAACCGACACGAAGUCGAGGUUCAAAGGCGAGGUCGCGGAAAGAGUAUACUAAAAUGAGUAAAAUUGCAAAGUUUGGUUGCGAAAUGUUCUAAAAUGCGGAAUAUAGCCUUGCAAAUUGUAUAUACUUUCGUACUGCGUGCAGAAAUUGCUACCACAUUUUGGCCGAAAAUGGUAGCAAUUUCCACACGCAAUACAAAAGUAUACAAACUUUGCAAGGCUAUAUUUUGCGCAUUUUACAACAUUUCGCGACCAAACGUGGCAAUUUUACUAAUUUUUGUAUGCGCUUUCUAGCUGUGGUGAUUUAUUUGCAUCUCCUUGCCUAUAGUUUUAAAAUUAGUCUAUAUUGGGAAUUGUCUAUUAACAAAGGGCCUGCACAUCUCACUCAUGCAGACGUGUUCCACGGCGAGAUGGGCUCGUAUGAACAGAAAUAUAAUUUCUUUGAAAAGUUGAAAACUUUAUCGAGCCACCUUAAUUCUAUUUCCAGGCACUCUGUUUGCAUACGGCCAGACAUCAUCGGGCAAGACGUACACCAUGACUGGUUCCAUGGACACGCCUGGUAUCAUCCCCCAUGCCCUAGACGAAGUCUUCAAAUACAUCUCGAAGACUCGAAACCGAGAAUUCCUUUUACGUGUUUCAUACAUGGAAAUAUACAAUGAAAUCAUUACGGAUCUUCUUAAUCCCAAGUCCACAAAUUUGAAAAUUCGUGAAAAUGUAGAUAGGGAGAUAUCGGUUGAAAAACUGACGGAAAAAGUGGUGACCAGUGUGACUGAGGUUCUUGAUGUAAUGAGAUUUGGGGAGAAAAAUCGACACAUUGGCGGCACGAAUAUGAAUGAACGAAGCAGCAGAU